CUGAAAUAACGUCUUGAGGUGCACCGGGAGUUC
rnacentral:sRNA from 1 species